AUUGAACGCUGGCGGCAGGCCUAACACAUGCAAGUCGAACGAGUGGCGGACGGGAGAGUAAUGCCGAGGAAUCUGCCUGGUAGGGGGGGAAAACGUGCGGAAACGGGCGCUAAUAGCGCACACUAUCAGAUGAGCCUAGGUCGGAUUAGCUAGUUGGUGGGGUAAAGGCCUACCAAGGCGACGAUCCGGAACUGGUCUGAGAGGAUGAUCAGUCACACUGGAACUGAGACACGGUCCAGACUCCUACGGGAGGCAGCAGUGGGGAAUAUUGGACAAUGGGCGCAAGCCUGAUGCAACCAUGCCGCGUGUGUGAAGAAGGCCUUCGGGUUGUAAAGUACUUUCAGCGGGGAGGCGUUACCCGCAGAAGAAGCACCGGCUAACUCCGUGCCAGCAGCCGCGGUAAUUC
rnacentral:rRNA from 1 species